rnacentral:piRNA from 1 species
UGUGACAGGACAAUAGACUUCACUUAGGGC